GCUGUAGGUCAAAGGUAGAGGGCUUAACUAACACGCAAGAGGCCCUGGGUUCAAUACCCAGCAUUGCA
rnacentral:tRNA from 1 species